rnacentral:rRNA from 1 species
AGAGAGAGACAUGCGCGCAUAUCAAUAAGCGGAGGAAAAGAAACUAACUAGGAUUCCCUCAGUAACGGCGAGUGAAGCGGGGAAGAGCUCAAAUUUGAAAUCUUCAAGGUUCUACCUUGACGAAUUGUAGUUUAAAGAAGUGUUUUCUGUUGGAGUUUUGGUAAAAGUUCUUUGGAAUAGGACAUCAUAGAGGGUGAGAAUCCCGUAUUUGACCAUUAUUUCCAGCUUUGUGAUACACUUUCAAAGAGUCGGAUUGUUUGGGAAUGCAGUCCAAAAUGGGUGGUAAAUUUCAUCUAAAGCUAAAUACUGGCGAGAGACCGAUAGCGAACAAGUACCGUGAGGGAAAGAUGAAAAGAACUUUGAAAAGAGAGUUAAAGCAGUACGUGAAAUUGUCAAAAGGGAAGCGUUUGACACCAGUGUUGUUUUUCUGAAAAUCAAUUAAAGAACUGUUUAUGCUAAGUUGUUUAGACUUUAUCAGCUAUCUGUUUAGUUUUGAGCUUUUCUUUAAUGCACUUUUCAGUUAACAAGUCAACAUCAAUUUCUUUUGCUGUAAAAAAGCUUGAGGAAGGUGGCUUGAGAUUCGUCUUAAGUGUUUAUAGCCUCUUGCCUAUGCAGUCGGAGAGAUUGAGGUCUGCAGCGUAGAUCCUUCGGGGCUAAAUGCAUUUGUGCUAAGUUAUAGCAUUUUAUAGACAACUUGUUGACUAUGAUUUGUCUUGUAGCUUACUCGCUUAUGUUAUUUUACCUACGCUUAGGAUGUUGAUGUGAUACUGCGAGCA